GGAGUUGACCAGACAGUCGCCGCUGUGUCGUCGUCCUUUCGGGGAGACGGGCGCAGGGGAGGAAAGUCCGGGCUCCAUAGGGCAGGGUGCCAGGUAACGCCUGGGGGGCGUAAGCCCACGACAAGUGCAACAGAGAGCAAACCGCCGAUGGCCCGCUGCAAAGCGGGAUCAGGUAAGGGUGAAAGGGUGCGGUAAGAGCGCACCGCGCGGCUGGCAACAGACCGUGGCACGGUAAACUCCACCCGGAGCAAGGCCAAAUAGGGGUUCACAAGGUACGGCCCGUACUGAACCCGGGUAGGCUGCUUGAGCCAGUGAGCGAUUGCUGGCCUAGACGAAUGACUGUCCACGACAGAACCCGGCUUACCGGUCAACUCCCUUC
rfam:Edwardsiella ictaluri 93-146, complete genome.